UAGGGAAUCUUAGACAAUGGGGGCAACCCUGAUCUAGCCAUGCCGCGUGUGUGAUGAAGGCCCUAGGGUCGUAAAGCACUUUCGCCAGAGAUGAUAAUGACAGUAUCUGGUAAAGAAACCCCGGCUAACUCC
rnacentral:rRNA from 1 species